GAUGAAGGUGCGGGCAGGAUUGGUUCCUUCUGAGGCUCCUCUCCUCAACUUGUGUCCUCCCGUGGCCACCCCUCUGUACAGUUGAAGGAAAGAGCAGCUGAAGACAUGGGCUCUGAUCCUGUGGCCUGGGUCUAGUUCCGGGGAUAGCAGCAGUGGUAACUGUCAGGUUAUGAACCAAAUGCUCCAGUGGAUCUGCAGCCCGGCUACUUUCAACUGGGAAGCAAUUCUGUGAUGCUGGUCUCGGUGAGCACACAGCACCUGUGUCAACUCAUGUGCAUUGGAGGCCUUCCAAUUCUUGACUAAAGCUCUCAAUGUAACAGUAUGUUUCCUAGUGAAAAUCACUUAUUUUUCUUCACUACCAAAUUAGAAUCCAUUGUUUUUUUUUUUUUUUUUUUAC